GAUGAACGCUGGCGGCGUGCCUAAUACAUGCAAGUCGAACGAGGUCUUCGGACCUAGUGGCGAACGGGUGAGUAACACGUUGGUACCUACCCCGAAGUGGGGAAUAACUGCCCGGAAGGGUGGCUAAUACCGCAUAAUACCGCGAGGUUAAAGCAGUAAUGCGCUUCGGGAGGGGCCUGCGUCCCAUUAGCUAGUUGGUAGGGUAAUGGCCUACCAAGGCGACGAUGGGUAGCUGGAUCGAGAGGUUGACCAGCCACACUGGGACUGAGAUACGGCCCAGACUCCUACGGGAGGCAGCAGUAAGGAAUCUUCCACAAUGGACGAAAGUCUGAUGGAGCAACGCCGCGUGCAGGAUGACGGCCUUCGGGUUGUAAACUGCUUUUAUACGAGAAGAUUAUGACGGUACCGUAUGAAUAAGGACCGGCUAACUACGUGCCAGCCGCCGCGGUAA
rnacentral:rRNA from 1 species